rnacentral:lncRNA from 1 species
CCAGUGCCUAGCACUGUUACUGAUAUAUGGCAUGGUAUAGGAUAUAGAAUAUCAAAUGAAGAGUUAGUAAGACCUAGAUUCAAUUACUGCCUCAGACAUUCACUGUAUAACCUUGGUCAAGUCAUUUAAUCUCUGUGGGUCUCAGUUUCCUCAUCUGUAAAAUAAAGGAAUUAGAAUUGAUGACUUCUAAGUUCCUUCCAAUUUAAAAUCUAUGAUAUUAUGAAAUGCUUGUUGAUUGAUUGAGUCAAAAAGACUUGGGUUCUUGCGUUUUCUCUGUGACAGACUAUUUUCGCGUGGACAAAUCACUUAAUUUCUCUUUCUUUCUCCUCUAACCCUGAAGCAAUUCUAUGGUAAGAAUGUAAGGAAACAGCUAGAUGGCUCAGUGGAUGGAGAGCAAGACCUAGAGAUGGAAGAUUUUGAGUUCAAAUCUGGCCUCAGACUUCUUAUCUUGUGACCCUGAGUAAGUCCAAUUGCCUAGCCCUGAGUGGUCUUCUGCUUUGGAACCAAUAUUCAACGUUUAUUCUCAGAUGAAGGUGGAAGUUCUCAACUAAGGCAAGGUUCAAAUCAUACCUCUCCAUGAUGCCUUGGUUCAACAAGAGAGGGAAAAGAAUUUGUUCAGCCCCAAAGGCAAAUUUCCCACUCAAACUGAUAGAUUAUUAUUUCUGGAUGAAGCUUUUAGAUUCAGACAGACGGUGUGGAAAUAAUAGACUGCAGCUGAUUCAGACACAAGGUAUGUUUUUACCUUAUGGGUCUCGGUUUCAUGACUUUUAAAAUCAAGGAGGUUGACAAAAGUCUCUUCAAGUUGUACAGGUCUCUGAUUCUGGGGAUCCUUUAAAAGCAUAUUGCCAUAUAUGGAUCGAGGGGAAUAUGAUUGGGGAUGUAGACUCUGGGUAAACAUCCUAGUGCAAACAUCAACAACAUGGAAAUGGGAUCUGAUCAAGGACACAUGUGAAAUUGCUCAUUGGCUAUGGGAGGGGUGGGAGGGAAAGAAUAUGAUUCUUGUAACCAAGGAA